AGAGUUUGAUCAUGGCUCAGGAUGAACGCUAGCGGGAGGCUUAAUACAUGCAAGUCGCGGGGUAACAGUUCGGCUGACGACCGGCGCACGGGUGAGUAACGCGUACACAACCUACCUUAUAGAGAGGGACAGCCCUGGGAAACUGGGAUUAAUACCUCAUAUUUUUAUUGAAUGGCAUCGUUUGAUAAACAAAGCUCCGGCGCUAUAAGAUGGGUGUGCGUUCUAUUAGAUAGUUGGUGAGGUAACGGCUCACCAAGUCAGCGAUAGAUAGGGGGCGUGAGAGCGUGACCCCCCACACGGGUACUGAGACACGGACCCGACUCCUACGGGAGGCAGCAGUAAGGAAUAUUGGACAAUGGAGGAAACUCUGAUCCAGCCAUCCCGCGUGAAGGAUGACUGCCCUAUGGGUUGUAAACUUCUUUUAUGGGAGAAGAAUAGCAUCUAUUUAUAGGUGUGUGACGGUAUCUCAUGAAUAAGCAUCGGCUAACUCCGUGCCAGCAGCCGCGGUAAUACGGAGGAUGCAAGCGUUAUCCGGAAUCACUGGGUUUAAAGGGUGCGUAGGCGGUUAGAUAAGUCAGAGGUGAAAGCUUCCCGCUUAACGGGAAAACUGCCUUUGAUACUGUUUAACUUGAAUUAGGCUGAGGUACGCGGAAUGUGACAUGUAGCGGUGAAAUGCAUAGAUAUGUCAUAGAA
rnacentral:rRNA from 1 species